CAGCAGCCGCGGUAAUACGAAGGGGGCUAGCGUUGCUCGGAAUGACUGGGCGUAAAGCGUGCGUAGGUGGUGGUUUAAGUCCGUUGUGAAAGCCCGGGGCUCAACCUCGGAACUGCCUUCAAUACUGGCGAUCUUGAGUAUGAGAGAGGUGUGUGGAGCUCCGAGUGUAGAGGUGAAAUUCGUAGAUAUUCGGAAGAACACCAGUGGCGAAGGCGACACACUGGCUCAUUACUGACGCUGAGGCUCGAAAGCGUGGGGAGCAAACAGGAUUAGAUACCCCUGUAGUCCCUGUCUCUUAUAC
rnacentral:rRNA from 1 species